rnacentral:rRNA from 1 species
UACGAAGGGUGCAAGCGUUACUCGGAAUUACUGGGCGUAAAGCGUGCGUAGGCGGUUUGUUAAGUCCGCUGUGAAAGUCCUGGGCUCAACCUGGGAACUGCGCUUGAUACGGCAGAGCUAGAGGAUGGAAGAGGCUCGCGGAAUUCCCAGUGUAGAGGUGAAAUUCGUAGAUAUUGGGAAGAACACCGGUGGCGAAGGCGGCGAGCUGGUCCAUUACUGACGCUGAGGCGCGACAGCGUGGGGAGCAAACAGG